rnacentral:lncRNA from 1 species
AUGUGAAUGAUUAAGUAGAUGUAAGACAGACACAUUACAGUAGAGGUUACAAGUGUCUUUAAUGUUUUAGAAGAUCAACUUAUACAGUACUGGUUAUUAAACAUAAUAAACGGUUAGAUCCAUACAGUGUUAGUUUAUAGACUUCUAUAGAGUCACUCCGAUGUGCAUUUAACCCAUUGCUGUAUGUACAGCUUUUAACUGUAUUUGAUUGGAUGCAGUAGAGCUGUAUCUGACUGUAGAGUUGACAGUCAGUUAGGGGGCAGAUAUCAUGGGUCUUAGGUGUUUAAUUAAUGAUGAUAGAGGUCAUCCAGGUCCUCUUCUGGUUCUCUGUACAUCCUCUGAGAGGGCCGAUCGGCAGACUGCUGCCUGUCCUGGCCAGGUACAGGUACAGGCAGCUAGCUCCCCCUGGUGAGGCACGUCCACUUGGUACUGCCCGUCUCCCCUUUUCAUCUCUGGAUGGUAGAGUUCGUCCCAGUCCUCUUCAGGGUGCCGUGGAUCCACCUGGCCUGAGAAGAGAUGAGAGAUGUUAUCUAGAUCUAUCCCAGCCUCCUGGUAGUACUUGGUGUUAUCCUCCUCAAGGGGCUCUGUCUGGAUGGCCAUCCGAACGAAGGUGUCCUCUGGCUGAGAUCGGGCUCUGGCCAGGUCAGCCUCGUGGGUCUGCUCCAUGGAUGGGUGGUAUAGAUGGUCCAUGUCCUCCUCGGUUGUGGAGUAUCUGCCUUGGACUACCUCUUUUUCUACCUUCUGUCUCUUCCCACCUCCCCCUCUCAUGUUCUUCCAGAUGGCCAUGACAGGGUGGAUGUCAUUGUUAGUGAUGUCCAUGUCUUCAGGAGCCUCCACCUGCUUCAGCCCCAGAUCAAACAUCACCCUCUCCUUUUCAGAC